rnacentral:rRNA from 1 species
AACGAACGCUGGCGGCGUGCCUAACACAUGCAAGUCGAACGAGACCUCCGGGCCUAUUUGCGCAGCGGUACGUAACACCUGGUAACUUACACUUAGGUUACGUACAACUCCCCGAAGGAGAUCUUAAUACCGCUGAAUCUCUUACCACCUAAGAUUUACUGCUGUUGGAUGGGCGCGCGUUGGAUUGGGCAGUUGGUAGGGUAUAAGCCUGCCAACGCGACGUUCCAUAGCUGGUCUGAGAGGAUGAUCAGCCAGACUGGGACUGAGACACGGCCCAGUCUGCUACGGGAGGCAGCAGUGGAGAACAUUGGAGGAUGGGCGAAAGCCUGAUCCAGCAAUGCGGGGUGAGUGAUGAAGGCCGUAGGGUUGUAAAGCUCUUUUACCCGGGAUGAUAGUGACAGUACCGGGAGAAUAAGCUCCGGCUAACUCCGUG